UUCUCCUGGAUCCUGUGCAGUACUCUCCAAUGUGCAAAGUGCCCAUCACUCAGUGGGAGGUUCCUGGAGAUGAGCAAGAAGACGUUUAUGCAGCAGUGAUGGAGAAAGUCCCCUAUGGAAGAAUGAACAAUGGAGCAGGUGCCACAGAAUAAGUGGUCCAGUGGAAGCACAAAGCACUAGGGGAGCACGAGAGAGCGUGAAGUUCCACAUUGGUGGGGAAGGGCUGGAAAGGGCCUUUUGGAGGAAUGGCAGUUGAGUUCUUCUUAGAGACAAGGGGAGAAUUUGGUGGGUAAUGAAGAUGUAGGGAUAGGAGGGGAAGAGUGUGAUCCUGUGGUCAGAGAAUGGUGAGGAAGUAAUCUAAGGUGUCAGGGUAGUCAGAUGUAAAAUGGAAAGUGAUUGCAAACAUUCACUAAGAGCUAACUGGGUGCCUGACAUUAUUUUAUACGUUUGAUGUGCAUAAUCUCUGUUCCCUUCCCUGUGACCUCUCCCUUGGUAAAUUACCAUCACUCCUGUUCUACAGAUGAGGUUCAGGGACCUGCCCAAGGUUACCUGGCUAGAAGAUAGUUGAGCCCAGGGUCUCUCUACUCAGUUACUACUUCUGCCCCCUCUCCUAUGAAAGAUUAGCUUGAAAAGCUGAGUAGGCACAGAAUGUGGCUGGCUUUGCCAAGGAGCGUGGAAUUUAUUUUGCAGGUAACAAGAAGCCACUGAGGAAUUGUAGGCAGAGGAGGACCUGAUUGGGCCUUUAUUUCAGGAUGACAGCUUGGUGCCAGUGUGGAGGAUGCUGUGAAGCAGGGAGAGAUUCCAAGGGAGCGAACACCUGUCUUCUGCUACCCCACUGGGAGGCAAAAGCAUUAACCAGUCAUCCUUCUAUAUAAGACAGCACCAGGAGCCUCUGGGACCAUUUGCUCAGUCGUUCUUUUUAAUUUAAUUUUUAUUGAAGCAUAACCUACAUACAAAAAAGUGCACAAAUUAGAUGUUUCUAUGCCAUCUGGAGGCACAGUGCUGUGGGGGGCACGGUGCUGUGGGGGACACAGAGGAAAGGAAGAUGCACCCUUCCUACCCCCGCCCAAUAAGCAUUGGAGAUUUAGUGGAGAGCGGUGGAGAGGUGUGCAGUGUGGAAGCCAGGAGUCCUUGGGGCCCAUGGGAGCUGGAUGUAGCAGGCAUUUCCGGCCUCAGGAUGGGAGGAGCUGUGAGAGACUUGUCGGCACCCAUGGGCUGAGGUCUCCGGGGGCACAGGAAACAGAGGAGGAAACACUGGGGCUAGGGACAUCAGUCACUGUCCCUGUUGACCUCCGCAGUCUCCGGGACUGCCUCCCAACCCAUGCAGAGGUGCUUGACCUGGCCUUGAAAUAGAAUCACCUGGAAAACUUCUGCCAUCUCAGAGCGAGACCACGCCCCAGGCCAAUUAAACUAGAAUCUCUAGGGUCCAGCCCUGGAUAGCAGUAGUUUGAAAUAUUUCAGGUGAUUCUGUUGUGCAGCCACAAAACCUACAGUGCCUAAGCCUGGAAAUGAGAACAUCAUGACAGGCCGGAGGGCCUUUGCUUUCUUCCUCUUUUCAACUAUGAGAGCAAGAUGCUUAUCCCAUAGCACAAGCACCAGAAUGCAUUUAACCAUCAUGCAUCCACAAUGUGUACAUGGAGUGGUUCUUAUUUUAUUCCUUGACAAGUUUUUAUUUGGUUGCUCUUUUGACUCUUAUUCAAAAUUGUUUAUGUAAAUUAGUAAGAAGUUUUUAGCAGACAAUUUGGCAAUAUGUAUCAAGAGAAUAAAACUGUUCAGAAUCA